GUGCUUCCUUUGGCAGCAUGCAUGCUAAAAUUGGAAUGACAGAAGAUUAACAUGGCCUCUGUGUAAGAAUGACACACAAAUUCGUGAAGCAUUCCAUAAUUCU